GUGGGGAAUAUUGGACAAUGGGGGGAACCCUGAUCCAGCCAUGCCGCGUGUGUGAAGAAGGCCUUUUGGUUGUAAAGCACUUUAAGCGAGGAGGAGGCUACCGAGAUUAAUACUCUUGGAUAGUGGACGUUACUCGCAGAAUAAGCACCGGCUAACUCUGUGCCAGCAGCCGCGGUAAUACAGAGGGUGCAAGCGUUAAUCGGAUUUACUGGGCGGAAAGCGCGCGUAGGUGGCCAAUUAAUGCAAAUGUGAAAUCCCCGAGCUUAACUUGGGAAUUGCAUUCGAUACUGGUAGGCUAGAGUAUGGGAGAGGAUGGUAGAAUUCCAGGUGUAGCGGUAAAAUGCGUAGAGAUCUGGAGGAAUACCGAUGGCGAAGGCAGCCAUCUGGCCUAAUACUGACACUGAGGUGCGAAAGCAUGGGGAGCAAACAGGAUUAGAAACCCGUGUAGUCC
rnacentral:rRNA from 1 species